UCCUCUUUGGAUAGGUUUCUUAUGGUGUGGAAGCUGAAGACACAGUGCAGAGCUUACAGAUUUGUAGGCCAUGCAGAAGCAGUGACCAGCGUACAGUUCUCACCAGAUGGGCAGCUACUUGCUUCAGCUUCUCAAGAUCGUACUGUCAGACUAUGGAUUCCCUGCAUUCAUGGAGAAUCAUCAGUACUGAAAGGUCAUACAGCAUCUGUUCGUAGUGUGAGUUUCUCACAUGAUGGCCACUUUCUAGUUUCAGCAUCCAAUGAUAAAUCAAUAAAAAUAUGGAGUGUUCGCCAUCAGUGCCUUUUGUUUUCCCUAUUCCAACACACUCAUUGGGUUCGCUGUGCCAAAUUUUCACCUGAUGGAAGACUAAUAGCAUCUUGCAGUGAGGAUAAAUCUGUUAAGAUCUGGGAUACAAGAAAUAAAACUUGUAUUGAUAACUUCUUAGACUAUGGAGGAUUUGCAAAUUUUGUGGAUUUCAACCCAAGUGGUACAUGUAUAGCUUCUGCAGGUUCCAAUCAUACGGUGAAGCUCUGGGAUAUUCGAAUGAACAAGCUACUGCAGCAUUACAAAAUUCACAGAGCAGGGGUUAAUUGUGUAUCAUUCCAUCCUUCUGGUAACUAUCUCAUCACUGCUUCUACUGAUGGUACCCUUAAGAUUUUGGACCUCUUAGAAGGAAGACUUCUUUAUACUCUUCAUGGACACAAGGGACCUGUACUUUCUGUGGCUUUUUCAAAAGGUGGUGAAAAAUUUGCCUCAGGUGGAGCAGAUGCUCAGGUAUUAUUAUGGAAAACCAACUUUGAUUCAUUUAAUUAUAAAGAAGUUCUUAAACACCAUAUUAGAAGAACACAUAUUGAUGGUCCUCCUCAUCUUCUUGAUAUUUACCCGAGGUCACCUCAUCUCCAUGAUGAAAAACUUCAGUCAGUUGAGGUCAACCCUACCUUUGGUGUGACUAAUACUCAAACACUUGACCCACCUGUUAUAGAGAUUAGUUCCUCUUCAUCUUUCAGUACUCUGGAUGAUGUCAGCAGUGAAGAUCUGCAGUAUCCCCCUGCUUCAAUCUUGGCAACAAGUUCAAAAAGGAAGUCAGAGAAUGAGAGCGGAUCAGCUGUGCAUAAUGUGAAAAAGCAAACAGGCAUCUCUCCCUCCCUGGGUAAUGCUUUGGAGCACAUUGUGGAGCAGCUGGAUGUUUUAACUCUAGUAUCUGAAUUAGAGCCUCCCACUUCUGGCUCUGGCGCUCAGCCCAUGAGUUUCAUCAGGAUGUUAAUUGCAUCUGUGUACUUGGGUUAGCUUGGCUUUGAAAAGCAUCUGACUGAGAAAACGCAUUUGGCCAACACUGAGAAGAUCUGGUGAUUUAAACUCUGGAUUGAUUUGGUCUUGGUGUUACCAAACAACAGAAUCCAGGUGUAUCCUUUUCAGGAUGAAAUUUCUAGACAUUUUCAGCCUUUUUGAAGAACAAUAUAUGUGACCCCACCUUUGGAUCUUUCCUGGAGACCUUCUGACAUCAGAAAGCAUACAGACAGCUGAUGGGAGUGAACUGGUGUAAGAGACAUUUCUUCUGAGGACACCAGCAGGCAGCUCACUGAAAGCUAUCACAGAGAAUGACCCAGGCCAGAUGAAAUGCGGAUACAGUGGGACCACUGAGAACCUCAGAGUGGAGGGAGACGGUGUGAGACACCGAGGAGUUUGAAACAGGACAAGGAGAUUCGUAGUGUUGGGAGGAGUCAAGCUUGGUGCAACAGGAAGAAAUUACCCUGGUCCAUUAGACCUUGUUUCCUAGCGGUUCGUAGAGCAGCCUCUUGCUGGACUAAACAUGUUUGGAGCCACUCAUUUGGUAUCUUCCCCAACUGUGCACCUUCCCUGUGGCAUGAGUGAGCACAGAGGUUAACCACCUGCUACUGCUGUUGGUAUCGCUCCACCUGCUGAAGGGGCAAAGGUCAAUGUGGUGAACCUGAAAGCAUAAAGAAAUUGCAUACAGAGAAAGCUAUUUGGAGCUGUAUGUUAAGAACAUUUUACUAAGGUAGCUCUCGAGAACUGAAUUUUAUCUCUGUAUCAUGAACCUGGCAGCUGUACUCUGUGUAGGAAGCAGUGGGAUGGAGAUGUGAAAAGGCUGGCAAGGAGGGGGAUGUAAACCCCAAAACCUACAGACCGCAAAGUUAUAAGCAAGUGUUUUGAAUUCUUGGUUGAGAUCUGAGAGAUGCUACAAGGGAGAAAGCAACAGAGUUUGAAGCAAGAGACGUAAAAGCAGUGCUGUGAUUAUAGGUCCAGUUAAUAGCUUUUAUGUCAGUAGGACGAUGAAGAGGAGAGGGAAGGGCCUUUGGAGGGAAGUAAUUAGUUUUGCAUUAGAACUCUGAAAAGUAAAAAUAUGAAAAGCUGCAGAUGAGGUUGCCUUCUAUGCUGCCUGAGAAAAGGGUUCUGCUAUCUAUCUAACCAUGGUUUUAUGAACCAUAGACCAUGUUUUUUUGUUGCUCUUCCUAUUCGAUUUUAUAAUGGUGAGUGCAUCCUUUUGCAUUUUUGAAAAUCAAUUUGAUGCUUACAGAUUGAUUUGCCACACUAAUAUCCUUUCCCUCCCUCGAUCCAUUCAGCCCCUAAUGAACAUGCCUUCCUCUGAAGUGUUCAUGACCCCGCUGACUCCAAGGCGUUUUCCAGCCUCCUAAGUACCCUGCCACAUUCUUCUCCUGCCCCCUUGUCAGUGGCACUGAGUAGGUAUCCCCUUGGCUGCCGUGCCUGCUGCUUCAUGCCUGUUGAAGGCAGGAGGUCCCACUCACCUGCUAGAUGCUUCGCCAUGUGUAUUCCUCAAGCACAGGAAGCUCCAUGCCUGGGAAAGGUGGCGAGCUAAGCACAGCAUCAUCAAGGGUUUCCUGCAAAGCCCAGCACUGCCACUGAGAACGCUUUGCCUCAUGCUGCGUCUGCUGCUUCCCAGUUUGCUUUCUCCUGGAGUCCGUGGCAUGGUGCACAACACGUGGCUGCAUGGUGAGGGGAGACAGGGCUUGCUUUGGAGUGCACAGCGAGGGUUUGGAGCAGCAGCCUCAGGUAGAUGCAGGGGCAAAAAGAAAAGAAACCUGCUCAGUGAACUAGAAAUUCCCACACUCUGUUGUCAAACAUACUUGUUCACUGGUGUGGAAAAGGGAAGCUGAGGAGAAGAGAAAUGAAUUUGAAUGCAUUUUUAAUUGGGAUUAUGGGCAUAUGGUGUGGUGCCAUUUGUUUUCCUCUUCCUGCUCUGCAGUGGGGCUCUAAUACCUUCACACAUUUGCCUUUGUUAUGUCAAAAGGGGAGACAGCAAAAGGUUCCCCCCCCCCCCCUUUGGGGCCAUACUAACAGCUCUCACUUCACCCUGAACUUUGCCAAAGGAACAAUCAUGAUUUUCAGAAAAAGUGCAGCCAGAUUGCAAAAGCAGAUUAAGCAGCUCUGACUUAUUUUUAUUAAAUUUUUCAGCUGCUCCUUGGAGGACCUUUGCUAUUUUCCAGCAGCUAAAAGGGGAGAGAGGGGACAUGAUGUCCACAGUACCACAUGCACAUAAUUCACCAGCAGCUGGAUAGUUAGGUUUUAUUGUUAUGAUAGUAUAUUUAGUGUUUUGUAAAAAGCUACUUAGGGAGCUGUUUCCCUUGUUGUACAGCAGUUUGUUAGCUGUAAGAUUCAGACAUAAGCCUUUAAUUAUGCCUAGCAUCUCCACAAAAGCAAUUUCAGUUCUCUCCCCUGCCUCAUGAUGCAUCUUAGGAUAUUCUGCAUUUGAAUGUGAACAAGCUAUUGUUUAACAUAGCUUUAAAUCAUUACAGAAAUGUUGUGUAGCAUCCACUGGGAAAGCCUGCUCCCAUCUGCCCUGUUCAUUUCUCACAGUCACUUUGGGAACGAGGGCCAAUAAUCACAGAAAUUUGGUUUAAAGGUUAAGCACAGAGUGGUGUUAUCUUCAUACACUGUACAAGCUAAUAACAGGUGAAGGUGUCACUCAGAAACAUUUGAAGAGGAAUGUAAAGCUUAAGAUUAAGCAUCUUUCCCAGCCUUCACAUAAGCGUCCUUCCAUUCAUUUUCCAAAACUGUAUAGGACUUGCAGGGUCCUUACUUAGAAGCUAAUGACACUUCAAUGUCUCUAGCAGAGUUGAAGCCAGUCUGAAUCUGCUCCUGCUUCCUGUGACACAAACCCUCUGCAGCAGACUUUGGACAGCUUGGUGUCGUAACAUCCCAGCCUGACCCUAACUCUAAGUCUGUAGCUGCUGAAUAAAAGUUGAGACUUUUAUUUUCCUUCUGAAAAUUAAGUAUUUUUAUUAUGGCUUAGACUUGCAGAAAAAAAGUAUAAAACAUUGACUAAUGUUAUUCAGUGUAUCCUAUCUUUGAUGCUUCUUUUGUCCCAGAGUUUCUGUUUCAAAUAAUGAUAAAAAAAGUUGUAUUAAUUUUACAUCAAAGGAAAGUUGGGGAAGCAGAAACAUGAAUAACAAACACAUGCAUAAUGUGAUUCUGAACAAAGAAACCUGGGCCGUCAGUGCGGGGAUAGGCCACGUGGAAACACAUAUAUGUCAUUGCAGCAUGUUGCUAACACAUGUGGGGGUCAGGCAGAUACAUUCAGGGGCAGCUGACAUCCCUGUUUGAAGGUAAAUUUGAUAGAAUCUGGUUUGUAGGUACUGUGGCAAUGGCUGCAUUUUACACCUUUACAGAGUGGUUACCACAAUCCUUUAUGUGUUAUCCUGUACAGGCUUCCAUAUACAGAAUGUGCCAAAGGGAGAGUGUAAAAAUAUGUAAAUAGUCAGUGUAAAGAUUCACUGGAAAAAAAAAAGAAUUACAGAUGAUAAUGAUAUUCUGAAAGUAGUUUGUACACAUAUUUAAAAUUAAUGAAAAAUAAAAAUUCAUUAGAUUGACAUGAAUUUCACCCAUCCAGACCUCAGAGCACCAAAACAGUUCAGCAGUUUUUCUUCUUCAGCAGCUUCCAUUAUUACCAGAUUUUCCAGUGAAACACAGAGCAUGGCCAGUGGGCCACAGCUCUGCACGGAAGUGGGGAUGCAUUUGCCCAGAGCAACUGUAAGGCUCUGGAUUCAGGAUCUUAGUUCAGAGCUCUUCCGCAGGAGCUGAGGAUAUGCUAGCCUUUUGCAAAGGUAAUUCAGACUGUUUGCUCUGGAAGUGAUUUAGCAUUUUUAACUUGUUAGGUAGAAAUAGGUAUGUUUGACUUUUAUUCGUAAUACUCCUGGUUUAGUUUGGUUUCACCAGGUAUUUGGAAUCUUGAACAGACACUGUCUAAUACUCUGAAUGUAUUUCUGCUUUCUGUUACUAUCAGCUCUGGACCCUGUUCUGCUGUCCUUCACAUCAACCUCAAACUGAGGCGGCACUCCACUGACUGAUGGUCUUUAUCACCAGAUUUUCUGAAUGUUCAGCACCCAUAACAUUGCAGCAGAUUUUCAGAUUUCAGAAGCAGGCAGCCAUCAGCUAUGGUAAUUACAGUUAGGGCCAAAUUCUCAAAAGAACUUGGCGUACUGCCUCAAAUCUGGUCCCAGGCAUGGAUACAUAGUGUUUUCCUACAGGAAUCACAGCUCCCAUUUUGGGAGUCACCUAAUUCUGUGCCCCAUAGAGGAGUCCUGCUUGGGAAGUGUGACGUCAGCAUGAAGGUGGCAGGUCUGUCACACGUGGUGAUGCAGGUUUGUGAUGCUUGUAGCACCAGAGGAGGACAGAAAAAAAUGAGAAUCCAGCUAUUAUGAAAUGAUAGUUAUGACAGGAGGAAUCCAUAAAUACAAUACAUAUUUUAUGUUAAUAAGAUCAGGUGACUGGCCCACUGCAUGCAGGGAUUGAUGUGAAAACAACCACUUAAGUUUUGGCACGUUACAGCUAAAUGUACUAGAGCAGGUCUUUAAACCUUAGACGCCUAAAUUACUUUUAAUGAAUCUCAAAAAGGUACCUAAGAUUUACAUUCAUUACCCUAGGAUCUUAAACUUCCAUCUAUAUUACCACUGAAAGAUGCUUAGAGCUGCACAAAUCCAAAAUAGUUGAAAAAAAAUCACCAGAAUACCAUUAUAAUCAACCUUAAAAUAGUUUUCAGGACAGUAACCACUAAAGUGAGUUGUAGAGGUGAGUUUCUUGAACUUCUGCCUCACCAAAGGCAGAGCCAAGAGUAAAAUAAACUGGAUGAAAUCACUGAAUGUAGGAUUAGGGUUAUCCAAGGGCCUGUUGGCCCUUCUAACAGACCCUUGAAAACUAUGCUACCUAUUUUGGGAGCAGAGUAAAUGAAGGCAGUUCACCAAUUUUUAGACUAAUCCAAAAAAUUGUAAAAAGACAAACAAACAAGGGAGCAAACAAAGUCCCCAAGCCAAAACCAAGUAAGUGAUCAAAGACCUCUGCCAGUCCCUUGAGGUAGGCAAGGUCACUGCCUGGGAACGCUCUCAUGAGUCACAGGCAAAGCUGCUCCAUCUCUGAUGUGACGCAGAAAGCCACAACAAAAUGGCAACGUACUGCUGCUGGCACGUGCGGCUUGGCUUGAGGAGGAGCCCUCACUCCCUAGCUGUAUUUCAGUGCCUUGCUAGCACUGCUCAAGCUGCCAUCCCCCAGCCCUACAGUGAAUAAAUGUGCUUGUGAGUGUCUGACCGCUUGCACAACAUCCCACCACAUGCACAGGCAGUUGCUGAAGCCCUGCCCUGCCAAGGUCAGUGGCAAUUUUUGUCAUUGACUGGUGUAGGCAGGAUUUCCCCCCAUGGACACACACCUCCUCCCGGAUGCACGUGCAUGCGGGUGUUUGUGUAUAUACAUGUGCUUUACAGUACAAAGUACUUACAGGAAGGCAAUCAUCUCUCUUUAAACAUUUUUCUUCAUAUUACGUGAAGUCAGACGCUCACUGUCACAGACACAGUUUCUCACAGCUUAAUGGUGUUAAAGAGCCCUUCUUGCUCCCAACUGCUGCAAUAACAAUCAGGUUGGGAGGAAGGGGAAAUGAGCAGUGCAGCACACACUGUACCUUCCAGCCACCAGCUAUUGUUAAGAGCACGUUGCUCCAGACAGAGUGGCAGCAAGGCACAGGGUGGGAAGCAGGUGUAACCUGCCAGGAACACCAGUCUAGCAAAAGUCAAUUUUUAAUUCAGACAAGUACCCCUCUUGCUUCAGUUGCCUGUUGCCACCAAACUGAAAGUGUUUUUAUAUUCCUGUUGCUCAGCACUUGAAAGCUUAACAAAUGCCUCUGUGGCAAACCAAGAGCUCAUUUUGUCAUGUCAGCUCUUUGGUCAUUCACCUGCAAAGUCACCAAUCUUUUUUUCUUUAAGUCCCUGUCAUAGCAUAGCAUUUCACGUGCAAGGCUGCUCUCAGAAGGCACGUUUCCAGACACUUUGCUACAGUUUGGGUUCUUUACAGAUGAGUCUGAAAUAUUUCCUCCUUGCUUAUCCUGCUUGGCUAGCUUGUUUUUCUUCUACUCUCUUCAGAAAAUCCAACCAGUAAAGGCUGCCCAGGCUGUGGUAGCCCCGUGGAGUACUUUGCUCAAGAUACAUCUGUCUAUACAGGUGUAUUGCUUGGCACAACUGUCCAGGUUUGGACUUCUGCUGGGUUGCCCAAGCCCAAUUCAGUUACCUCAUCCCCUAAAUUCAGCUGCAGUGUAGUGUUGCAGUGCUACUCUACCCUUGCUGAGCCCCUGUGCUGUUCUCAAGGCACCCUCUAGGAUGGUUUAUAAACAUGAAGCCAGCAACCCACACGUUCAAACCCCUUCUUUAGUGCGGGAGUUACUGUUCUGCAGUGCAAUACUAAAGUCUAUUUGUGAUUAGGUUUAGUUCACUGUGCUCUUGAUCUGCAGCCUUUAUUAUUACCUUGUUUUCGGCUAUCUGCCUGUUUGCUGAGCGCUCACACACUGUGCAGUGCAAUAUAAAUGAGUGUAUUCAGCCCAGCUGCCACACAAAAAACAAGCAUGAUGAAAGAACAUCACACCUAUGCCUGCCACUACCCAUCAGGACAUUAUCUCUGCUCCCUUUCCUCCACCAAGGCCUUCGGAUGAAGUACUACCUUGUAUAAAGCUCACUCAUGAAGUGCAUUCCCUGGCUGGCUAUUCCCUGUCCAGGAUUAUCCAUCAGCUGCAGGACACAACUGCUUGGCAAGGGGGUCAAUGGACCAUGAGAAGGCCUGGCAUUUUCUGUCCCUUACUAAGCAUUUUCUCCCCUUGUCCCUUCUUAUAUUUCUGUUCUCCUUAUAGUUAUUGGUCCUCUUUUACCACAGGAUGAUUUUUGAGAAAAAGAAUUCACCAGUCUCCUCCUCCCCCUCAUGCAGCACCUUUCAACUCCAGUUGGACCCUACUUGGUUUUCUUCAGGAGGUAGCUCAAUACCCUGCCAAAGCCUCAGGUAUUUCCCCCAGCAACUUGUCCCUGACCAUCUUCCCCCCUUCCCCAGCAGCUCUUGCAUCACUUAUGGGUGAUAUUGCCCUGUUCCUGCUAGCUUGAUUUAUUUGGCUGGGCUGGGAUGAUGCUGAAAAAACAUGGAAAAAAAACCCUCAGAAAUGGUCUUUCCCCCAAGGAAAAUUCUCCUCUUUAAAUAGUCCCUUUGCAUUUGGGAGGAAAAAUACAAUUUUUGUCUCAUUAACAUAUGAUUCCCCAAUCAUCUGCACUUCUGAGCUCUGUAUAUAUUUUAUGUUCGUUCCCAAUACACAUGAUUUAACCUGGAGCUAUGAUGCACAGAUUUAGGCUACAGGAAAAGGACUGAGACUUUGUAUUAGUAAUCAGUUUGGCUUUAUUUCACUGAGCAGUGACACUGGACAGUAACAACUUACAAGUAAUUUUGGACCGAACAAGAUACAUCUGUCCCUGCGCUGCAACGGAGAUGCAUCUGUCUCUGCCCCGAGAGCUGUCAUUGUCUCCUCAUCUAUCACUUCCCACUUGUGGCAUCACUUCAUCUAGUCAACAAUAACUUGCUGUCUGCACUGCCAAAAAACUUUGAAAAUGCUCUGAAUUUCAUGCCAGGAAAGGCCAUAAGGUACGCUUUGUACGUCAAAUGCCUCAGAAACUGGUUGUGUGCUACUGCAAACUCUUUUCCAAAAUAUAUGUGG